UGGUGCUGUUGUUUUCUCUGGCCCUAGAUUGCUUGUUCUCAGACACACAUAAAGGAAGGCCAUUCUCUCCGGUCACUGUCCCGGUGAUGUUUAUUGUUUGUGACUCUUCAAUUCCACUGUUUCCCAGAAUUCUCAGCACAUUCUGCACAGUGUAUUACGCGCCGUGAACUACUUGGACAUCAGACGUGUGCUUUUAUUACGGAUUUCCAUGCUGAACGAAGGCCAGGAGGAAUGGCUCAGUGCAGAAACAAUACAUCAUCAGACUGACCUAGUUUGCAGGACCGCGGGUGCUUGCGAAGGAUAAUUAUCUUCUGUGAAUCGUUUCCAUCAGUGCAUCAGUCAAUCAAUCUUCACCAGCACCACACGCCAUCAGCAACUCUAUUUUGUUGUUUCUUCUAAUGGAAACGGCUCUCCAUGAGAGUUCUGAUGUGUUCGAGUGAUGAACGAGGACACAGUUUGGUGAGAGUAAGUGAAAAUCACACUCUCUUCCUCCACUCAGCGACUUUUAUGUAAAACAGCACAAUUAAACAAUGUCCUGAAAAUGAAUGUAUGCUGCAAACAUGAGGCUCAUUUGGCUGAUGAAUGGCCGCACUUUGGAUAAAAAGCGAUUUUAGUUGA